rnacentral:rRNA from 1 species
UACGUAGGGUGCAAGCGUUGUCCGGAAUUAUUGGGCGUAAAGAGCUCGUAGGCGGUCUGUUACGUCGGCUGUGAAAACCUGGGCUCAACCCCGGGCCUGCAGCCGAUACGGGCAGACUAGAGUUCGGCAGGGGAGACUGGAAUUCCUGGUGUAGCGGUGAAAUGCGCAGAUAUCAGGAGGAACACCUGUGGUGUAGACAGCUUACUGGACCACUUCUGACGCUGAGACACGAAAGCGUGGGUAGCAAACAGG